rnacentral:rRNA from 1 species
ACGGGAGGCAGCAGUGAGGAAUAUUGGUCAAUGGGCGGAAGCCUGAACCAGCCAAGUCGCGUGAAGGAUGAAGGUAUUAUGUAUUGUAAACUUCUUUAGCAGCAGAGUAAUAAGGGGGUCGAGACCUCCGAUGCAAGUAUGCUGAGAAUAAGGACCGGCUAAUUCCGUGCCAGCAGCCGCGGUAAUACGGAAGGUCCGGGCGUUAUCCGGAUUUAUUGGGUUUAAAGGGAGCGCAGGCGGCCUUUUAAGCGUGUUGUGAAAUGUAGGGGCUCAACCUCUGCACUGCAGCGCGAGCUGGAGGGCUUGAGUACGCGGGAAGUAGGCGGAAUUCGUCGUGUAGCGGUGAAAUGCUUAGAUAUGACGAAGAACUCCGAUUGCGAAGGCAGCCUACUGUAGCGUUACUGACGCUAAAGCUCGAAAGUGUGGGUAUCGAACAGGAUUAGAUACCCUGGUA